AGAACGAACGCUGGCGGCAUGCCUAACACAUGCAAGUCGAACGAGACCUUCGGGUCUAGUGGCGCACGGGUGCGUAACGCGUGGGAAUCUGCCCUUAGGUACGGAAUAACAGUGAGAAAUUACUGCUAAUACCGUAUGAUGUCUUCGGACCAAAGAUUUAUCUCCUAGGGAUGAGCCCGCGUUGGAUUAGCUAGUUGGCGGGGUAAGGGCCCACCAAGGCUACGAUGGCUAGGGGGA
rnacentral:rRNA from 1 species